rnacentral:rRNA from 1 species
UAGGGAAUCUUCCGCAAUGGGCGAAAGCUUGACGGAGCAACGCCGCGUGAGUGAUGAAGGUCUUCGGAUCGUAAAACUCUGUUAUUAGGGAAGAACAAAUGUGUAAGUAACUAUGCACGUCUUGACGGUACCUAAUCAGAAAGCCACGGCUAACUACGUGCCAGCAGCCGCGGUAAUACGUAGGUGGCAAGCGUUAUCCGGAAUUAUUGGGCGUAAAGCGCGCGUAGGCGGUUUUUUAAGUCUGAUGUGAAAGCCCACGGCUCAACCGUGGAGGGUCAUUGGAAACUGGAAAACUUGAGUGCAGAAGAGGAAAGUGGAAUUCCAUGUGUAGCGGUGAAAUGCGCAGAGAUAUGGCGGAACACCAGUGGCGAAGGCGACUUUCUGGUCUGUAACUGACGCUGAUGUGCGAAAGCGUGGGGAUCAAACAGG